GACGGAGGAUGCAAGCGUUAUCCGGAAUGAUUGGGCGUAAAGCGUCCGCAGGUGGCAGUUCAAGUCUGCUGUCAAAGACCGGGGCUUAACUUCGGAAAGGCAGUGGAAACUGAACAGCUAGAGUAUGGUAGGGGCAGAGGGAAUUCCUGGUGUAGCGGUGAAAUGCGUAGAGAUCAGGAAGAACACCGGUGGCGAAGGCGGGUCUCUGGGCCGUAACUGACGCUGAGGAGCGAAAGCAUGGGGAGCGAACAGG
rnacentral:rRNA from 1 species